GUGGUUGCUUUGGCAGCACAUAUACUAAAACUUGGAAUGAUACAGAGAUUAGCAUGGUCCCUGCUCAAAGGUAAUACACAAAUUCAUGAAGCAUUCCAUAUUAAA
rnacentral:snRNA from 1 species